rnacentral:rRNA from 1 species
CUCGGAGUUUGAUCCUGGCUCAGAUUGAACGCUGGCGGAAUGCUUUACACAUGCAAGUCGAACGGUAGAGGGGGCAACCCCUCGAGAGUGGCGAACGGGUGAGUAAUAUAUCGGAACGUGCCCAGUCGUGGGGGAUAACGUAGCGAAAGUUACGCUAAUACCGCAUACGAUCUAAGGAUGAAAGCGGGGGAUCGCAAGACCUCGCGCGAUUGGAGCGGCCGAUAUCAGAUUAGGUAGUUGGUGGGGUAAAGGCUCACCAAGCCAACGAUCUGUAGCUGGUCUGAGAGGACGACCAGCCACACUGGAACUGAGACACGGUCCAGACUCCUACGGGAGCAGCAGUGGGGAAUUUUGGACAAUGGACGCAAGUCUGAUCCAGCCCAUUCCCGCGUGCAGGACGAAGGCCCUCGGGUUGUAAACUGCUUUUGUACAGAACGAAAAGGUCUCUAUUAUACUAGGGGGCUCAUGACGGUACUGUAAG